rnacentral:lncRNA from 11 species
GUCUGAAUGUCAUUCCAAUUAUUUCACCAAGACAGAAAAAUACGAAUGAGCUGUGGCUAGAUGGUGUUUAGAGGUCUGUGAAUAUGCCAAGGGACAGGUUAUGUGAGCCUAAGUGUUUGCUUACUGUUCUCCAGUCUUGCUUCCUUUUGAGUUCUGGUUAUGUUUGAAGGGGUAUCAUCCAAAGAAUGUGGCUGGUGCAGUGGGCACCAGGUGAAACCUGCCUCUGAAACAGUGUGGCUGUGAUGGACUGUAAAGGCAACCUGGAGAUGCUCUGAAGGCAGUACGUGAAAAGGGGAGGAAGGAGAGCCUGACACCCCAAGUCCCUGGACCCAUUCUGACCACGACUACCCACCCUCCUCUUCAGAAUCCACCACCAACUACAGAACCUCAGGAAGGUCUGUGUGAAUGUUUUCCCUUGUUGUUGGCGGAGGAGGUUGAUCAAAGUGUAUCCUAUAAGUUGACGACUAGGAGUCAUUCUCCUCCAGUAAGAUCACCGCAAUGGACACCUGGGUAAGGAGGGAAAGGCAGAAAUGAACUUCUGCGAAGAGGGGAUCAGGAUUGCAACAAAGUCUCCUCUCUUUCUUU